rnacentral:lncRNA from 1 species
UGGCGAAUGGCCGCGAACAUCUCCGCUUCAGUGUCUUUCCAUUCUAGCNAGGCCGNCUUCAGCGCGUCCCUCUCCUUCCGAACGGCAUCCGCUUCAGUCAGGGCCUUCUUGGCCGAUUCCAAUUCCUUCGCCAGAUUAUCCCGCUCGGUCCUAGUCCGCAUACUCAGUUCUCUCAGCUGCUCAUGGAUCGCAUGACUUUCG